rnacentral:rRNA from 1 species
UACGGAAGGCAGCAGUGGGGAAUAUUGCACAAUGGGCGAAAGCCUGAUGCAGCUAUGCCGCGUGUAUGAAGAAGGCCUUAGGGUUGUAAAGUACUUUCAUCGGGGAGGAAAAACAAAACUAAUAAUUUUAUUUCUUGACGUUACCCGAAAAAGAAGCACCGGCUAACUCCGUGCCAGCAGCCGCGGUAAUACGGAGGGUGCUAGCGUUAAUCAGAAUUACUGGGCGUAAAGAGCACGUAGGUGGUUUUUUUAAAGUCAGAUGUGAAAUCCCUGGGCUUAACCUAGGAACUGCAUUUUGAAACUGAAAUACUAGAGUAUCGUAGAGGGAAGUAGAAUUCUAGGUGUAGCGGUGAAAUGCGUAGAUAUCUGGAGGAAUACCUGUGGCGAAAGCGGCCUCCUAAACGAAUACUGACACUGAGGGUGCGAAAGCGUGGGGAGCAAAACAGGGAUUAGAUACC